GAUGAACGCUGGCGGCGUGCUUAACACAUGCAAGUCGAACGGGAAUUACUUUAUUGAAACUUCGGUCGAUCUAAUUUAAUUCUAGUGGCGGACGGGUGAGUAACGCGUGGGUAACCUGCCUUGUACAGGGGGAUAACAGUCAGAAAUGACUGCUAAUACCGCAUAAGCGCACAGAGCUGCAUGGCUCGGUGUGAAAAACUCCGGUGGUAUAAGAUGGACCCGCGUUGGAUUAGCUAGUUGGUGAGGUAACGGCCAACCAAGGCGACGAUCCAUAGCCGGCCUGAGAGGGUGAACGGCCACAUUGGGACUGAGACACGGCCCAGACUCCUACGGGAGGCAGCAGUGGGGAAUAUUGCACAAUGGGGGAAACCUUGAUGCAGCGACGCCGCGUGAAGGAAGAAGUAUCUCGGUAUGUAAACUUCUAUCAGCAGGGAAGAGAUUGACGGUACCUGACUAAGAAGCCCCGGCUAACUACGUGCCAGCCGCCGCAGUAA
rnacentral:rRNA from 1 species